GCUUGGGUAGUAUAAGUUAAUACGGCGGGUUUUCGUCUCGCAAAUGAAUGUUGAUUUCUCUAAGUU
rnacentral:tRNA from 1 species